GGCUACGUAGCUCAGUGGGUAAGAGCACAGCACUCAUAAUGCUGGGGUCGUUGGUUCGAGUCCAACCGUAGCUACCA
rnacentral:tRNA from 1 species